UAGAGUGUUUAAAGCAAACUAACGCUUGAAUACAUUAGCGUGGAAUAAUGAAAUAGGACGCUCGAUCCUAUUUUGUUGGUUUCUAGGAUUGACGUAAUGAUUAAUAGGGAUAUUGGGGGCAUCAGUAUUCAAUUGUCAGAGGUGAAAUUCUUGGAUUUAUUGAAGACUAACUACUGCGAAAGCAUUUGCCAAGGAUGUUUUCAUUAAUCAAGAACGAAAGUUGGGGGCUCGAAGACGAUCAGAUACCGUCGUAGUCUUAACCAUAAACUAUGCCGACUAGGGAUCGGACGAUGUUAUUUUAUUGACUCGUUCGGCGCCUUACGGGAAAC
rnacentral:rRNA from 2 species